AUGGUCAGCGACAGCGUCCUCUCCACAGGGAGCUGCUGCUGCUGCACAAGCGGAGCCGUGUCAGCAGAGAGCUGCAGCUGCAGGAGGCCCUGCAGGCCCUGCCUCAGGAGACACGAUAUUAAAUUUUUAGGUGGAACGGGCUCUUUCUCUCUCUCUCUCUCUCUGGGGAUUUGCUUGGGACAUUUUAGUGUUUUUUACCUUUCUGUCUCAUGGGGGGGGCUGGUUUGGUUUCAUUCCCCUUACCCCUCUUUCUUUCUCUGGGGCUCUGGUCUACUUCAGUUACAGGUGGCCUGGCUUCCCCUCUGUACUCUUGGUGGACUGGAACAGAAGAGAGAGUUCUCUUGGGAGUUCUUUGCUUCUAACCCUAUGUGUUCUCAGAGGUGGAUGUGAUAUUCACAGCUCUGGAGCCAAGGCUGAGCACCGUCGAGUCGCGCUGGCUGCUCUGCACAGGCGAGUGUGACAGGAAAUACACGCUGAACUGCAGGAGAAGGGAACGUGAGCCUUGGCCCUGCCAUCCUCUGGGAUCUCUGGGAACAUUGCAAGGACUGGGAGAGAGCUGAGAGCCAUGGGAGCAGUGCUGGCCGAGGCUGUCCCAGCCAAGGAGUUCCUCUUACGUCCCUUAAGAGGAUACCCCAGCGCUGUUUUCCUUCAUAAAGACUUCUGACCAGACUAUCUGUAGACUUCUGCUUUCAUGUAAGUAUUUAUUUAAAUUUUUGUCUCUGAAAGCAAAACAUUUAUCUCCUGACUUCCCUGCUAUUCAGUGUCUGCUGAACUGGGUGUGCAUUUUCCUAAGCUAAGGAAAACCCUCCCUGUGAUUCUGUAAUUUCCAAAGGAGCAGCAUUAAGUCACUUAUGUUUUUCUUGUCUCCAUAGCUUUAGCUUGACUCGUACUCAAAGACAGGAAUGACUUAAGAGCUGUAUGUGGUGAAUUGUUAGUUUGGCAGGGGUUUUUUGGAAGUUCAGGGCUAAAAUGUGAUGUAAGAAAAGGCUUUUUUUGCAGCAUUAGAUUUUUGCAGAUUGCAGCUUUUCAAGCUUUCUAAGUAAGUCACCUCAUUCCGAUUUAAACUCUCUUGAAAUAUGCUUGAUAUGUUUUUUUUUCCCACUGUUAUGUUAGUUUUCAUUUUGGUUUGGCCACAUCCUAGGAGCCUGAUUUUGGAAUGUUUUAUGGAAUUGGCCCAGUAGCUUUUACUUCUGGGGUUCCCGUAGUCUGUCCAUGGCAGGUCCAGCCUGUGCUUCAACUUGGAGCCCUCAGUCUGCAGGGAAAUGAACCUUUGGGGAAGUUCUUACAGCUCUACUUAUUCCUUUAUGAAUGAUGAUGAUUUUCUGGAAGUAGGCUGUCCAUUCUGACCCUUUUUCUUCUCUCUCUGCAGACUGUACCUGCUGAAAGGCUG
rnacentral:lncRNA from 1 species